AAAUCAUUUUUCUGAAAGCCAAUUCGAAAAUAAGCUAUCUUUAUAAAUCAAAGUCAACGAAAAAAAACAACAUUUAGACACCAAAUAUAACUUCAAAACCCCACUAUAUAUAUAUAUAUAUAUAUAUAUAUAUAUAUAUAUAUAGUUGAACUAGAAUACUCUCAAUAGUAAACGGAGUGUUUUACUAUCGAGUUGUUUUUUAUGAUAGAGCUUCCAAAUUGACGAUCGGUUCCGUUAAAUAUGAUCUAAACCAUUUAAACUAUCUAGAAAUCAAAUUUCACGCACUUUCGAUAUUAUUCUUUUAUCCAUCUAGUGAACAGAAAAUGAAUGGUUGAAAAUGAAUAUUCUUUAAAAAAUGAUGAUAGGAGUCUUGUAAUCAAGAUCAAGAGUAUAGAUCUUGUUUUAAAUAGUUUAAAGAAUUUUCUAACAAAAAUUCAAUUGAUUUGGAUAUCUUUACACCGUUAAACGAGAAAACGUCUCUUAUCCACCAUUACAAUUACAAAUUUUGAAACCCUUUGAUCAUUAGGCAAAUGAUGUCGAAAAGAUUUGAAAUUUGAUUUCUAAACA
rnacentral:lncRNA from 1 species